CAUUUCAUCGAUUGCUAAACCAUUUCUCCACCGCCUUUUUUUUCUUACUUUCGAUUUAUUAUGAUUUUGUUGUCUCUGAUCGUCUUUGUUGUUUGUUUUGCAGAGUAAGUCAAUGGGUGAUUGUCGCAUGAUCCAUGGGAAAAAGUUUGAUGGAACGAAGAAAUUGGGUAGGUCAAUGGGAGAUUGUCGCAUGGUCCAUGGAAAAAAGUUUGAUGGAAGGAAGAAAUUGUGUAACCAGUUAUCAACAAGUUGUUGCAACGGGAACUUGAGUACUGACUUGAUUUGAGGUGUAUCAAGAUGAGGAUAUUACAUUAUCCCUUUAAAGCUUCAUUAGUUGUUGGAUAAACCUCCAAAAUACACAGACAACAUGAUUUUCUUUUCCGCGGCUUCGGUUUAAUAAGAAGGUAAUAAUAUUAACAGUGAUCUUGAUUCUUUUACUCUAUUUAGUUUUCGUCAGUUAUAAUGCUCGCGAAUAUGAUAUGAAUGAAAAGGAAUAACCCACUUCCUUUCUCUAAGUACAUAUACACUAAUAUGAUAUGUGUCUCGAUUUUUUUAGUGUGUAAACAUAUAAAUUAGAAGUUAUGAUCACUUGAUUUGAAUUUCUGUCAUCUAAUCAAAAAUAUUCCAAUGCAAUAGCAUUUUCCCCCUGUCUUUUUGUUGGUAAAAAUGAAUAUGUAUGUCGAUUUUAUUUCUAUUGCAGGUUUGCGUGUGUAGUCUGUUAGAAAAUUAUUACACUCUUAGACCUAGGAGAUUUAAUUUAAAGAUAAUUAAAUUUUUUAUUUUUUAGUGAGCAAGAAUUGCAUUUGGGCUUAUACUUUGUUCCAGUUUGGGAUGGUUAUAUUUUAUGUGCCCAUAUCUUUACAAGCACCGAUCUCAUAUAUAGGUGGCAAGACUCGGCGUAUUGAUCUUUGUUGUUAAUACAUAUGAACCAUUUAUAAGGAAUUCAGGACUAUACAAAUAUACAAUGUUAUUUCAUCCUUUGUCAUCAAAAGCUGUAUGAUAACAAACUUUUCGGGUUCCAUGCGGAGAGUUCGAUCCUAAUUGCACACUCAGCUUCCUUGCUGCCCGUAGAACAAAUUCAUUCAACUCGAGGAACACGAAUAUGUUUUCCGAACCAUUUUCAAAUUAAUUUUGUCCCCAUGGUUUAUGUUAUUUGACUCAAAAAUGCAAACCAUUCAUGUGAUUCUGUUGUUCAGUUCAGUCUGAUAGAGCAUACGGUAUAGGAAUUGGUUUAAAAUAAACUUGGAGAAGGAUAAGGAAAGAGAGAAACCAAUUCCAACGACAAGACAAAGGAUAAUCCCAUCCUUUUGUUUAGUUAAUUUUAAUUAAGUAAGUGAACGUAAAAAAAUUAAUGUA